GUGACUGCGUACCUUUUGUAUAAUGGGUCAGCGACUUAUAUUCUGUAGCAAGGUUAACCGAAUAGGGGAGCCGGAGGGAAACCGAGUCUUAAUUGGGCGUUAAGUUGCAGGGUAUAGACCCGAAACCCGGUGAUCUAGCCAUGGGCAGGUUGAAGGUUGGGUAACACUAACUGGAGGACCGAACCGACUAAUGUUGAAAAAUUAGCGGAUGACCUGUGGCUGGGGGUGAAAGGCCAAUCAAACCGGGAGAUAGCUGGUUCUCCCCGAAAGCUAUUUAGGUAGCGCCUCGUGAAUUCAUCUCCGGGGGUAGAGCACUGUUUCGGCUAGGGGGCCAUCCCGGCUUACCAACCCGAUGCAAACUGCGAAUACCGGAGAAUGUUAUCACGGGAGACACACGGCGGGUGCUAACGUCCGUCGUGAAGAGGGAAACAACCCAGACCGCCAGCUAAGGUCCCAAAGUCAUGGUUAAGUGGGAAACGAUGUGGGAAGGCCCAGACAGCCAGGAUGUUGGCUUAGAAGCAGCCAUCAUUUAAAGAAAGCGUAAUAGCUCACUGGUCGAGUCGGCCUGCGCGGAAGAUGUAACGGGGCUAAACCAUGCACCGAAGCUGCGGCAGCGACACUGUGUGUUGUUGGGUAGGGGAGCGUUCUGUAAGCCUGCGAAGGUGGCCUGUGAGGGUUGCUGGAGGUAUCAGAAGUGCGAAUGCUGACAUAAGUAACGAUAAAGCGGGUGAAAAGCCCGCUCGCCGGAAGACCAAGGGUUCCUGUCCAACGUUAAUCGGGGCAGGGUGAGUCGACCCCUAAGGCGAGGCCGAAAGGCGUAGUCGAUGGGAAACGGGUUAAUAUUCCCGUACUUGGUGUUACUGCGAAGGGGGGACGGAGAAGGCUAUGUUGGCCGGGCGACGGUUGUCCCGGUUUAAGCGUGUAGGUGUGUGUUCCAGGUAAAUCCGGUUCACUUUAACACUGAGGCGUGACGACGAGGCACUACGGUGCUGAAGCAACAAAUGCCCUGCUUCCAGGAAAAGCCUCUAAGCAUCAGGUAACAUCAAAUCGUACCCCAAACCGACACAGGUGGUCAGGUAGAGAAUACCAAGGCGCUUGAGAGAACUCGGGUGAAGGAACUAGGCAAAAUGGUGCCGUAACUUCGGGAGAAGGCACGCUGACACGUAGGUGAAGUGAUUUACUCAUGGAGCUGAAGUCAGUCGAAGAUACCAGCUGGCUGCAACUGUUUAUUAAAAACACAGCACUGUGCAAACACGAAAGUGGACGUAUACGGUGUGACGCCUGCCCGGUGCCGGAAGGUUAAUUGAUGGGGUCAGCGCAAGCGAAGCUCCUGAUCGAAGCCCCGGUAAACGGCGGCCGUAACUAUAACGGUCCUAAGGUAGCGAAAUUCCUUGUCGGGUAAGUUCCGACCUGCACGAAUGGCGUAAUGAUGGCCAGGCUGUCUCCACCCGAGACUCAGUGAAAUUGAACUCGCUGUGAAGAUGCAGUGUACCCGCGGCAAGACGGAAAGACCCCGUGAACCUUUACUAUAGCUUGACACUGAACAUUGAGCCUUGAUGUGUAGGAUAGGUGGGAGGCUUUGAAGUGUGGACGCCAGUCUGCAUGGAGCCGACCUUGAAAUACCACCCUUUAAUGUUUGAUGUUCUAACGUGGACCCGUUACCCGGGUUGCGGACAGUGUCUGGUGGGUAGUUUGACUGGGGCGGUCUCCUCCUAAAGAGUAACGGAGGAGCACGAAGGUUGGCUAAUCCUGGUCGGACAUCAGGAGGUUAGUGCAAUGGCAUAAGCCAGCUUGACUGCGAGCGUGACGGCGCGAGCAGGUGCGAAAGCAGGUCAUAGUGAUCCGGUGGUUCUGAAUGGAAGGGCCAUCGCUCAACGGAUAAAAGGUACUCCGGGGAUAACAGGCUGAUACCGCCCAAGAGUUCAUAUCGACGGCGGUGUUUGGCACCUCGAUGUCGGCUCAUCACAUCCUGGGGCUGAAGUAGGUCCCAAGGGUAUGGCUGUUCGCCAUUUAAAGUGGUACGCGAGCUGGGUUUAGAACGUCGUGAGACAGUUCGGUCCCUAUCUGCCGUGGGCGCUGGAGAACUGAGGGGGGCUGCUCCUAGUACGAGAGGACCGGAGUGGACGCAUCACUGGUGUUCGGGUUGUCAUGCCAAUGGCACUGCCCGGUAGCUAAAUGCGGAAGAGAUAAGUGCUGAAAGCAUCUAAGCACGAAACUUGCCCCGAGAUGAGUUCUCCCUGAGACUUAGAGUCUCCUGAAGGAACGUUGAAGACGACGACGUUGAUAGGCCGGGUGUGUAAGCGCAGCGAUGCGUUGAGCUAACCGGUACUAAUGAACCGUGAGGCUUAACCUUACAACGCCGAAG
rnacentral:rRNA from 3 species